rnacentral:rRNA from 1 species
AAUCAACGCUGGCGGCGUGCCUCAGACAUGCAAGUCGAACGCGAAAGGCCCCUUCGGGGGCUGAGUAGAGUGGCGUCCGGGUGAGUAACACGUGGGUAAUCUACCUUCGGGUGGGGAAUAACAGUCGGAAACGACUGCUAAUACCGCAUAAUGCAGCGGCACCUAAUGGUGACAGUUGUUAAAGCGGGGGAUCGCAAGACCUCGCGCCUGAAGAGGAGCCCGCGGCGGAUUAGCUAGUUGGCAGGGUAACGGCCUACCAAGGCGACGAUCCGUAGCCGGCCUGAGGAGGGCGGUCGGCCACACUGGCACUGACACACGGGCCAGACUCCUACGGGAGGCAGCAGUCGGGAAUAUUGCACAAUGGGCGGAAGCCUGAUGCAGCGACGCCGCGUGGGGGA